GGCCAGAUCUGGAGCGCCCUCCAAUGUUCACCAGUCUAGCGGUGCUGGUCGUCAUUCAAUGGUUGAUGCUUGGCCGCCUGUCCAGUGAUCUGCGCCCGGCAGUGGCCGCCUGUCCGGUGAUGUUGGCCGUCCUCACGGAUUCACGGUGGCGCAUCCCUGGGGAUCCUCGCGGGAAGAGCAACGAACAGAGGGAAAAGAAAAAACAGAA
rnacentral:lncRNA from 1 species